AUGAAAUGGGAUAUGUGUCACCUCUUGUUUAUCUUCCCAUGCUUUCCGAUUCACCACCUUAAUUGCUCGUACACGGCUUCUCCUGCUCAAAGGUGCAGUGUUACAGAGGAUGAUCAACGCGUCCUUCUCACCGUUUCAAAAAUCGCGAUGCUACCAGAGAAAGUCUGGUGUCAGUCAGGCCUGGUUUUGAGAUUCAGAAAUUCUAGCCAUAUGCUGCAACUUUGA